AUUGAACGCUGGCGGAAUGCUUUACACAUGCAAGUCGAACGGCAGCACGGACUUCGGUCUGGUGGCGAGUGGCGAACGGGUGAGUAAUGUAUCGGAACGUGCCCAGUCGUGGGGGAUAACGUAGUGAAAAUUACGCUAAUACCGCAUACGAUCUAUGGAUGAAAGCGGGGGAUCGCAAGACCUCGCGCGAUUGGAGCGGCCGAUAUCAGAUUAGGUAGUUGGUGGGGUAAAGGCCCACCAAGCCAACGAUCUGUAGCUGGUCUGAGAGGACGACCAGCCACACUGGAACUGAGACACGGUCCAGACUCCUACGGGAGGCAGCAGUGGGGAAUUUUGGACAAUGUGCGAAAGCCUGAUCCAGCCAUUCCGCGUGCAGUAUGAAGGCCCUCGGGUUGUAAACUGCUUUUGUACAGAACGAAAAGGUUUCUACUAAUACUAGGAGCUCAUGACGGUACUGUAAGAAUAAGCACCGGCUAACUACGUGCCAGCCGCCGCGGUAA
rnacentral:rRNA from 1 species